GACGAACGCUGGCGGCGUGCCUAAUACAUGCAAGUCGAACGCAGGGGGGACGGGUGAGUAACACGUGGGUAACCUCCCAUCAGAGGGGAUAACACGUGGCAACAGGUGCUAAACCGAUACUGAUGGAUGGACCCGGGGUGCAGUAGCUAGUUGGGGGGGUAACGGCCCACCAAGGCCACGAUGCAUAGCUGAUCUGAGAGGGGGAGCGGCCACACUGGGACUGAGACACGGCCCAGACUCCUACGGGAGGCAGCAGUAGGGAAUCUUCGGCAAUGGACGAAAGUCUGACCGAGCAACGCCGCGUGAGUGAAGAAGGUUUUCGGAUCGUAAAACUCUGUUGUCAGAGAAGCGGUAUCUAACCAGAAAGCCACGGCUAACUACGUGCCAGCCGCCGCGGUAAUAC
rnacentral:rRNA from 1 species